rnacentral:rRNA from 1 species
GAUGAACGCUGGCGGCGUGCCUAAUACAUGCAAGUCGAGCGAACAGACGAGGAUCUUGCUCCUCUGACGUUAGCGGCGGACGGGUGAGUAACACGUGGAUAACCUACCUAUAAGACUGGGAUAACUUCGGGAAACCGGAGCUAAUACCGGAUAAUAUAUUGAACCGCAUGGUUCAAUAGUGAAAGACGGUUUUGCUGUCACUUAUAGAUGGAUCCGCGCCGCAUUAGCUAGUUGGUAGGGUAACGGCUUACCAAGGCGACGAUGCGUAGCCGACCUGAGAGGGUGAUCGGCCACACUGGAACUGAGACACGGUCCAGACUCCUACGGGAGGCAGCAGUAGGGAAUCUUCCGCAAUGGGCGAAAGCCUGACGGAGCAACGCCGCGUGAGUGAUGAAGGUCUUCGGAUCGUAAAACUCUGUUAUUAGGGAAGAACAAAUGUGUAAGUAACUAUGCACGUCUUGACGGUACCUAAUCAGAAAGCCACGGCUAACUACGUG